rnacentral:rRNA from 1 species
CUACGGGUGGCUGCAGCGGGGAAUAUUGGACAAUGGGGGAAACCCUGAUCCAGCAAUGCCGCGUGUGUGAAGAAGGCCUGCGGGUUGUAAAGCACUUUCGGUUGGGAGGACUGCUUCUAGCACUAAUAUUGUUGGAAGUUGACGUUACCUUCAGAAGAAGCACCGGCUAACUCCGUGCCAGCAGCCGCGGUAAUACGGAGGGUGCACGCGUUAAUCGGAAUUACUGGGCGUAAAGCGCGCGUAGGCGGCUAGAUCAGUCGGGUGUGAAAGCCCCGGGCUUAACCUGGGAACUGCACCCGAUACUGUCUAGCUUGAGUACAGGAGAGGGGAGUGGAAUUCCACAUGUAGCGGUGAAAUGCGUAGAUAUGUGGAGGAACACCAAUGGCGAAGGCAGCUCUCUGGCCUGAUACUGACGCUGAGGUGCGAAAGCGUGGGGAGCAAACAGGAUUAGAUACCCUAGUAGUC